rnacentral:rRNA from 1 species
CCUACGGGUGGCUGCAGUGAGGAAUAUUGGUCAAUGGGCGGGAGCCUGAACCAGCCAAGUCGCGUGAGGGAAGACGGUCCUAUGGAUUGUAAACCUCUUUAGGCGGGGAGCAAUGCCGGGCACGUGAGCCCGGAGGGAGAGUACCCGCAGAAUAAGCAUCGGCUAACUCCGUGCCAGCAGCCGCGGUAAUACGGGGGAUGCGAGCGUUAUCCGGAUUUAUCGGGUGUAAAGGGGGCGUAGGCGGAGUGUUAAGUCAGCGGUAAAAUGUCCGGGCUCAACCCGGGCCGGCCGUUGAAACUGGGGAUCUUGAGUGGGCGAGAAGUAUGCGGAAUGCGUGGUGUAGCGGUGAAAUGCGUAGAUAUUACGCAGAACUCCGGUGGCGAAGGCAGCAUGCCGGCGGCCGACUGACGCUGAGGCACGAAAGCGUGGGGAUCGAACAGGAUUAGAUACCCGUGUAGUC